AAGACAUUGUGUCUUCGAGUCGUUGAUUUCACACUGCCGAGAAAAGCCUCUAGAUAGAAAAUAGGUGCCCGUACCGCAAACCGACACAGGUAGUCAAGAUGAGAAUUCUAAGGUGAGCGAGCGAACUCUCGUUAAGGAACUCGGCAAAAUGACCCCGUAACUUCGGGAGAAGGGGUGCUCUUUAGGGUUAACGCCCAGAAGAGCCGCAGUGAAUAGGCCCAAGCGACUGUUUAUCAAAAACACAGGUCUCUGCUAAACCGUAAGGUGAUGUAUAGGGGCUGACGCCUGCCCGGUGCUGGAAGGUUAAGAGGAGUGGUUAGCUUCUGCGAAGCUACGAAUCGAAGCCCCAGUAAACGGCGGCCGUAACUAUAACGGUCCUAAGGUAGCGAAAUUCCUUGUCGGGUAAGUUCCGACCCGCACGAAAGGCGUAACGAUUUGGGCACUGUCUCAACGAGAGACUCGGUGAAAUCAUAGUACCUGUGAAGAUGCAGGUUACCCGCGACAGGACGGAAAGACCCCGUGGAGCUUUACUGUAGCCUGAUAUUGAAAUUCGGCACAGCUUGUACAGGAUAGGUAGGAGCCUUUGAAACGUGAGCGCUAGCUUACGUGGAGGCGCUGGUGGGAUACUACCCUAGCUGUGUUGGCUUUCUAACCCGCACCACUUAUCGUGGUGGGAGACAGUGUCAGGCGGGCAGUUUGACUGGGGCGGUCGCCUCCUAAAAGGUAACGGAGGCGCUCAAAGGUUCCCUCAGAAUGGUUGGAAAUCAUUCAUAGAGUGUAAAGGCAUAAGGGAGCUUGACUGCGAGACCUACAAGUCGAGCAGGGUCGAAAGACGGACUUAGUGAUCCGGUGGUUCCGCAUGGAAGGGCCAUCGCUCAACGGAUAAAAGCUACCCCGGGGAUAACAGGCUUAUCUCCCCCAAGAGUUCACAUCGACGGGGAGGUUUGGCACCUC
rnacentral:rRNA from 1 species